UACGUAGGUGGCAAGCGUUGUCCGGAAUUACUGGGUGUAAAGCGCGUGUAGGCGGGAGGCCAAGUCUGCUGUGAAAUCGCUCGGCUCAACUGGGCGGGGUCCGUGGAAACUGGUCAACUGGAGGACGGUAGAGGCAAGUGGAAUUCCCGGUGUAGUGGUAAAAUGCGUAGAGAUCGGGAGGAACACCAGUGGCGAAGGCGGCUUGCUGGGCCGGACCUGACGCUGAGGCGCGAAGGCGUGGGGAGCGAACGGG
rnacentral:rRNA from 1 species